AAACCAACAGGGAUUGCCCCAGUACGGCGAGUGAAGCGGCAAGAGCUCAAAUUUGAAAUCUGGCCUCCCCCGGGGGUCCGAGUUGUAAUUUGCAGAGGAUGCUUCGGGCGCGGCCCCCGUCUAAGUUCCUUGGAACAGGACGUCAGAGAGGGUGAGAAUCCCGUCUUGGGCGGGCGGCCCGCGCCCGUGUGAAGCUCCUUCGACGAGUCGAGUUGUUUGGGAAUGCAGCUCUAAGCGGGUGGUAAAUUUCAUCUAAAGCUAAAUACCGGCCGGAGACCGAUAGCGCACAAGUAGAGUGAUCGAAAGGUUAAAAGCACCUUGAAAAGGGAGUUAAACAGCACGUGAAAUUGUUGAAAGGGAAGCGCUUGCGGCCAGACUCGGGGGGCGGGGUUCAGCGGGCGCUCGUCGCCCGUGCACUGCCCGCUCCCCGGGCCAGCAUCAGCUUCGACGGCCGGUCAAAGGCCCCCGGAAUGUGUCGUCUCUAGGGACGUCUUAUAGCCGGGGGUGCAAUGCGGCCCGUCGAGACUGAGGAACGCGCUCCGGCUCGGAUGCUGGCGUAAUGGCCGUAAGCGGC
rnacentral:rRNA from 1 species